rnacentral:rRNA from 1 species
GACGAACGCUGGCGGCGUGCUUAACACAUGCAAGUCGAACGGAAAGGCCCUGCUUUUGUGGGGUGCUCGAGUGGCGAACGGGUGAGUAACACGUGAGUAACCUGCCCUUGACUUUGGGAUAACUUCAGGAAACUGGGGCUAAUACCGGAUAGGAGCUCCUGCUGCAUGGUGGGGGUUGGAAAGUUUCGGCGGUUGGGGAUGGACUCGCGGCUUAUCAGCUUGUUGGUGGGGUAGGGGCUUACCAAGGCUUUGACGGGUAGCCGGCCUGAGAGGGUGACCGGCCACAUUGGGACUGCGAUACGGCCCAGAAUGCUACGGGCGGCAACAGGGGGGAAUAUUGCACAGUGGGGGGAAGCCUGAUGCAGCAACGUCGCGUGCGGGAUGACGGCCUUCGGGUUGAAAACCGCUUUCGCCUGUGACGAAGCGUGAGUGACGGUAAUGGGUAAAGAAGCACCGGCUAACUACGUG